rnacentral:rRNA from 1 species
UUACUCCUACGGGAGGCAGCAGUGGGGUAUACUUGGACAAUGGGCGCAAGCCUGAUCCAGCCAUGCCGCGUGUGUGAAGAAGGCCUUAUGGUUGUAAAGCACUUUAAGCGAGGAGGAGGCUACUUUAAUUAAUACCUAUAGAUAGUGGACGUUACUCGCAGAAUAAGCACCGGCUAACUCUGUGCCAGCAGCCGCGGUAAUAA